GGACGGAGAGUAAUAGUGUAUGUUACUCCCCGCUAGCAGCACCCAUUUCUCCCGAUCUAUUCUCAUUAUUUCGAGUUCAGAGUCUCGACGACGAGUGUCGCGCGGGCGUAGUGUGCGGCGGAUGGGCUCGACGGCAAGUUCUUGUCAGCCUGGCAGGCAGCAUGUCUGCGCGGGGUCUCGGUGGUGGUCGUGGUAGCGCUGUUGUGGCAUCGAUGGACCGCUCAGCGGCUGGCGAGGAAGCUUCACGACGGCUGCGCCAUGUCCCGCGCGAUUUAGUCGCCGGAUGGCCCCGGCGUGGUGGAUCCGCUGUAGGAAACCACUACCGCGUCCCACGCGAGGAGGCCGCGGUGACUCACUUGGGCGACCAGCCCCUAUUUAGGGUUCCGCUCCUGUAGCAACGCCUGGGGGUCCUCCAGUCCUUCAAUCCAUCCAUUUUGACAGCUCCGUCACCCCUGAGAUGUGCUUCGAGCUUGAAGUCUGCAUUCCUUUUUGUUCCAGAUGGUGCGCUGCACAACUACAUCUCAAGUGAUUAGGUAAUUAGGUAUAUCUCAGAUGUUAUUCAAUUUUGAUUUCGCCCCAAAUUUAAUUGUUUUGGGCAUAUCUAAACUAGAAGCUUAAUACUCAGAUUUUGAUUUAAAUUUCACAGGGUUAAAAACAAUGUCAGUGCUUGGUGUUUUAAGCAACAACUCAUGCCUGACGGCUAGUAAUCUUAUUUGGUCAACAUUAUAAAACACAUAUUUUAGUUAGGGAAAGCACCAUUGUUUUCAACCCUUCUUUGUGCCUGACGAAUAGUAAUUUUAUUUUGCAUCUAUCUUGAUGGAUAGAUCAAGUGUCCUGCAUUAUGUGGUGAAAUACUUAUGUUCUAUUAUCAAUGGUAAUGGAAUCGGCCAGAGGGUCGUUUGGAAAAAAGAUGAAAGUGAGGAUUAGAGCAAAGAAGAUGAAUUGUUAUCGAAUUUAAUUAUGUAAGAGGAAAAUCACCAUUCUGAAUAAUCAAAUUCAGAGCAUGGAAGCAUGAUGUAGGCAUCGCUUGGUUGACCCCAAUCCAAUUUAUUUCCUGUGCAUACAUCGUUCUUUCAUCUAAUCCAAAUAUUUCUGCAACUAGAGAUAUUCAGAUAAAAUGUUUAGUUGUGAAGGGCAAUCAUCGAAAGUUGUUUUAUGUUGGAAAAUUAUUUUCAGUUCCAGUUCUUGCAUUUUUUUUGGAAAUCAGUUCAUCACUUGCUUAUUUCGCAUCAAUAGUAAUAUAUAGCUCGAUUUGGACAUAAGUGAGUCAUGAGUUUUUACAAUGCCUUGUUUGUUAUUAUUAGUAGAAGCUCAAUUUUAAUGGAAAAUUAUUUAUUUGCGGGUAUUGAAAGCUAGGCUGACUAAUGGCGCUUUCCCGGAAAUAAAAGAUAUGUUUUAUAAGGUUACACAACCUUGGACUUUUGAGUUGUUCUGAUUUAUAUCAGAUGUGCUAUGUUUGGUAUGUUCAGGUUGUGUUACUGUUUCUUAAGUUCAGGUUGGGAGAGUAUGAAUAUUGAUAAUUGUCGUGAUUCUGGUGGAGUAAUUUAUCACACAGUUUCUUUCAGGCUUCCGCCAUGUCACAAAUGGACCAUAUGGAACCGAUGUUUUCACCGUGUUUUAGUUCCAUGUGCUUACAAGUGACAGCUGAGAACAUGGUUUAAUUUGUUUAACCAUUUCCUAAUCCACACUACUUUUAGAAUGCUAACUACUUAGACAAGCGCAUAUCAGAUUUCCAUAGUAUGACGGUGCGCCCACCAAUUGCUCUAUGUUAGAUGUCUGCCUGUGACAUGAACAUUAACUUCACUAUACAUCUCACUCUCUCAGUCAGGAUCAGAGGAAGAAUGAAGUUCUUUUAUAGUUUUAUGCCAUUAGCAGAUGGAUAUUAGUUUACCACUGGACAGGAAACGGAGGCAUCUUAUGUGCAUGGUCCUAUGUAGAAUCAACAGGGAGCGAGAAUGGUAAAAUUACGACAGACACUAUUUUUGAAAACAAACAUGACUUGCUGGAAUUUAGAAUAGCAAAUAAACAGUAUGUGUAGUUCUCUACUGCUUAUUCAUGGCAAUCUUCAUUCUUUAGGUGAAAGCAACCUGCUAUUCUAUCUUCAGCCGACUGCAUGAGUAACAUUGAUUAUUUAGCUGACUGCACAAGUAAUUUAAUUUUUCUCUUCUUAUGAUGUUCGGAGCAAUGCUAGGUUAGUGCUAGCCUCCAGUUUGGCUUAUUUCCAUUUCAAAGAGCUGGAUACUGACCUCUUCUUGGCAUCAAUCGUUGCUGGCUUUUUAAAUUAUUUAUCCUUUUGUUUCAUUACAGUGCGAUGAAGCUUACUGGCGCAACCUAUUCACAUAUGUACUGUAGCUGUUCAACCAAAAGUUAUCUGCACAAGUGAGGAAAGGACCUUCACUGCGUAGUAGUAAUACGUGCUUUCCUUCAUGACUGUUACUAGUACAUAAAUGAAAUAAACAUGUAGAAGUACUUUUUUUUUGCCAAAAAAACAUGUAGAAGUACUUACCAAUAAAUAUGCCCCUCUGGCCUGCCUAUAAGAAUAUAUGCUCCCACCACUUCUGUUUUUUGGUCUUCGGAAGUUGCUUCCUUGGAACAUAGCAUUGCUAUUACUUUUUAUGUUGCAUUAUUAUAUAUUAUCUUUAUUUUGUCGUUGAUGACAGUGCUCCCUGAUCAUCAGAAGCUGAAUCUCAUCUUCUAUGCCCAUCUGAAUUUUAUUAUUGAACAUUCACAUUGUCCCUGAAUGUCCCAACUAUGCCAAGGGAAAAAGUAAAAACUGUAGCGCCUUCUUCCAUGCAUAACUUGUUUUCAUUUUUAUUUCAUCAUAAAUUUUACUUUUAUAUCAUAUAGCUGAUUCUCUCAAUUUUAUUAUCACAUUGCCCUAAAUGUCCCAACAUGUCGAGGGAAAAAGUAAAAACUAUAGCGUCUUUCGUGUAUAACUUGUUUUCUUAUUUAUUUCAUCAUAAAUUUUACUUUCAUAUAUCUGAUUCUCUCAGUAUAUUGACAACAUGAUGUCGUGUUGGAACAGAAGGGUUUAGAAUGGAAACUAAGGUUCUUCAAGUAAGAGCACGGGUAUCAUGUUAUCUUCAGAGCUAUAGCUUGGAUCCGUACGUGGUCCUUACUCACUCUUAUGGAUUUCAGGGAGCCUUUGGUUACUGGGUGCAAUCAAUGGGAGAUGGUGGCUCGGGUUAUUUUCAACCGGUUCGGAUGGCGUUUGCAUAACAGGAUAGGAGUUUAGAGAGCUUAUCCUUAUUAUUACCGUAUCGGUGGUCUUUGUCCGCUUGUAUUUUUCUGGUUUAUGCACUUUGUUUUGCUCCGUUUGCGAUCAUAAAACCUUUAUGAUCAUACUUUCUGGAUUUUUAAUAAGAGGGUCACAUGCAUCAUCAUGAUGCAGAGGCUGGGGUUAUACCUCCAUUUUCAAAAACUAGCAGCGACCAAGGCGAGGUGUACAACAGACGAAGCUUGUUUGGUCGAGCAUGUCUGCCAUCGUUGAAAAUAAAGAACCAUGGGUUAAUAUAAUCCAUUUUUUAUAAAA